rnacentral:rRNA from 1 species
UGGGGAAUCUUGCACAAUGGGCGAAAGCCUGAUGCAGCAACGCCGCGUGCGGGAAGACAGCCCUAGGGUUGUAAACCGCUUUCAGCAGGGAAGAAACUGACGGUACCUGCAGAAGAAGAUGCGGCCAACUACGUGCCAGCAGCCGCGGUGACACGUAGGCAUCAAGCGUUAUCCGGAUUUAUUGGGCGUAAAGAGCUCGUAGGCGGUUCGGUAAGUCGGGUGUGAAAACUCUGGGCUCAACCCAGAGAGGCCACUCGAUACUGCUGUGACUAGAGUGCGGUAGGGGAGCGGGGAAUUCCUGGUGUAGCGGUGAAAUGCGCAGAUAUCAGGAGGAACACCAGUGGCGAAGGCGCCGCUCUGGGCCGUAACUGACGCUGAGGAGCGAAAGCAUGGGUAGCAAACAGGAUUAGAUACCCUGGUAGUCCACGCCGUAAACGAUGUCUGCUAGUCGUUGGGGGGCCGUAGCCCUUCAGUGACGCCGCUAACGCAUUAAGCAGACCGCCUGGGAGUACGGCCGCAAGGUUAAAAC